GAUGAACGCUAGCUACAGGCUUAACACAUGCAAGUCGAGGGGCAGUAUGAACUUAGCUUGCUAAGUUUGAUGGCGACCGGCGCACGGGUGAGUAACACGUAUCCAACCUUCCGUUUACUCAGGGAUAGCCUUUCGAAAGAAAGAUUAAUACCUGAUAGUAUGGUGAGAUUGCAUGAUAACACCAUUAAAGAUUUAUUGGUAAACGAUGGGGAUGCGUUCCAUUAGGUAGUAGGCGGGGUAACGGCCCACCUAGCCUGCGAUGGAUAGGGGUUCUGAGAGGAAGGUCCCCCCACAUUGGAACUGAGACACGGUCCAAACUCCUACGGGAGGCAGCAGUGAGGAAUAUUGGUCAAUGGGCGAGAGCCUGAACCAGCCAAGUAGCGUGAAGGAUGAAGGUCCUACGGAUUGUAAACUUCUUUUAUACGGGAAUAAAGUUUCCUACGUGUAGGAUUUUGUAUGUACCGUAUGAAUAAGCAUCGGCUAAACUCCGUGCCAGCAGCC
rnacentral:rRNA from 1 species